GUCUUUCAAAUCCUUAAGUUAAAAAAUUCAAGAUACUGGAUAGCUUCUAGAGAGUGCGAAUAAAUCGGCGAUCGACUCAGUGGCGGGAUCGGUAUACUGAGUUACUGAAUUCCCACCUAAAUUUGCACCAAUCUUCACUCUGAUCUUCUGUUUCUCUUUAAUUUUUCGACUUUAAUCUCAUCUGUUCAUGUAUUGAUUUGGGUUUCUCAAUUUCUUAUUAUUGCUUCCGUUUGUCGUUUGCCCUAACUUUCUUUCGAUGCUCUCAAAGUUUUCUUAAUUUCCCUGUGUUGUUUGUGUCAUGUCUAGCAGGUAUUGCUAGGUGGCGUUUGAUUCCCCUCUCUGCAAAAGGUUGGCCGUCUUAAGGGUUGUCCCAUGUUUGAAGGUUUUUUCUCCAUGAAGAUAAGGUUGAACCUUACUUUUGUUGAUAAAGGUGACAUUGAAAAUUGUUCUGCUCCAAAAGACGGGUGCUCUGAUCAAUAAUCCAUUACAAGUCCAUAAAUUACAAUUCAAUUUCAUUACUCAAAUGAAAGGUGGCGAUGUUCUGCUGAAUCCGUUUACACAUUGCAGAGGUAAUUCAUGCAAACCUGCUAUAAAACCCCUCAAUGUAAGGUCUGGGUUAAUACAUCUCAUAAUCUUUCUACUUCUUUGCAUUUCUCUCUAUUCAAUGUCAACUAGAAAAUAUGUUGGAGAAGUUUCUUAUCUAAUAGAGAGAAUUAGGAAAACUAAUCUCAAUGGAGAGGAUCAAAUUCAAAGAGUUAUUAGUUAUCCCAGCAUUAAGCUUCAACCUACCAUUCAAAAAUGGAUUGUUGGUUUGGUAGCAAAGAUUUUCUGUGAGCAUCCAAUGAGUCCAGACACUGUGGAACAAGAAGUUAUUAUGGCUUAGGGUCAGAAUCAUUUUCAAAUUAGACGUCAUGCUAGAUAUAUGUUUAUUUUCCAUUUUUUUGUUUGGGACUCUUAUAAUUAUGUUUUGGAAGAAGGCCCUUGGAGCUUUGAUGGUUAUCUUGCGGUUUUUAGAGAAUGGAGUACCUCUAUCAUUCCAGAAAAUUUGGAUUUUCAUGUGCAGCAAUUCUGGAUUGACAAUAAGAAGCUGCCUCCAGAAUUUCUAAAUGUUGAAGUGGAGAACCAAAUUGCUAGAAUUUUGGGCAACCCUCUCAAAUUAGUCCCCGAAGAUGGUAACCCAACUGACACUAAUGCUGUAAUGUUCUUAUUGAAUUUAAUAUCUCUAAUCCAAUGAUUAGAGGUUUGUUAACUGAAAAUGCUGCUAAAGUUACACAGUGGGUUCCAAUUUAUUUUCAAAGACAACCAAGAAAAUUAUGCCCUGCAUGUAUUUUUAUAGAUCAUAAUGAACUUCAGUGUCCAACCAAAGCUAAUGACGUUCAACCUAUUGGGAAUUAUAUAUUCAAGUUUGGAGAAGACUAUGGUGAAGUUAUUGAUCCAAGGCAGUAUAAUCCUAAAUACAAGCAGGGUGAACAGAUAUUGAUUUCUCCUAAGAAAUCUAGGGGCAAUAAGAGAAUGGAAAAGAAGCCUUUUCAAAUUCCUGAAGAUGGUUACCGUGUUUCUACAAUUUAUACUCAAUCAGGAGGAGAUAUUGCUGAAAAUUCAACUGCCAGAAGACCCAAAAGAGCUCGUGGCAGUCCUGGUAGCAGUAGUCAAGGAAGUCAGCAAGUAGAUCAAGUCUUUUCCGAGCAUCAAUUCCAAUAAGAACAAGUGGCCAAUGAUUAUUAGGAUGAAUCUUAUCCCCAAGAGUAUAAUGGGAUGCAUCCAAGCUAUUACAGAGCUUAUCCUCUAAUUGGAGACUGGGACAACCUAAUUAUUCAGCAAGCAACUAACCAUACAUCAGAGCAGGAGAGUCAGGUUUCUUUUCAUCUCAAACUCAACUCUCAAUCUCCUUUUUUCUAUGAGUAUACUAUACAUAUUCCUUUUCUUAUUUUUGACAACCUAAUCAGUAUGAAGAUAUUAACAUGGAAUGUUCAGGGAAUAGGUAAUAAACACACUAGACAACAUCUUAAAGACUGUAUUUUCAAUUACAACCCUGAUAUAAUUUUCUUAUCUGAGACCAAAAACAAGGCUGUUAAUACACAUAAAUAUCUGGUUCCUAUGGGGUAUCCUAAUCUUGUUUAUAAAGACACUAUUGAGAAAGCUGGUGGAAUAGCUUUUAUGUGGAAAGAUGGAUUAGAAUUAUAAAUAGUAGACCAAUCUAGUAACAUGAUGCAUGUUAUUGUUAAUUUUGGAGUGUAGAAGCUGGAAUGGUUUCUUUCAUGCAUAUAUGGUUCUACUCAUAGUGGUGAGAGGAAGGCUUAAUGGGGAUAUUUGCAAGAUCUUGGACAUGAUAUGCAUAUACCAUGGGUGAUUUUAUGAGAUUUAAAUUUAACCCUCCACUUUUCUGAAAAACAUAAUUUUUCUACUAAUUCUUCUCCCUCAUUUCAGAUUGUUCAUGAUACUAUUGAUAUGCAUGGACUUAGAGAUGUCCCUUUUACAGGAAAUCCAUUUACUUGGUCUAAUCAUAGGAAAUCUACUAAACUAGUCAAAACCAGGAUAGAUAGAGCUUUAGCUAACAAUAAUUGGUUUACUAGUUUCAAAGAUAGUGUUAUUAACAAUCUCCUUCCUCAUGGGUCUGAUCAUGCUCCUAUUCCUUUGCAUAUUCAUCUUCCAGACAAAACCAAUAAUAAACCUUAUAGAUUUUAUAAAGUUUGGCUUUCUAAUCCUCUGUGUAAAGAAGUUUUGAGAAAAAGUUGCCAUUUAGAAGAAAGCCUGCAUCUUAACGAGCUUCCAAAGAAGAUUCAACAAACUACUGAAGCCUUGAGGGAUUGGAAUCAUAAGUCCUUUGGUCAUGUCAAAACUGAAAUUAGAAGAACUCAGAAUCUACUACAAAAAGCUAAGAAUUCUCCAAGACAAGAUACAACUCUCAUAAAAUCUCUUGAAGAUCAGUUAAACAAAUGGUAUGACAAAAGUGCUCAAAUUACUUAUCAUCAAUCAAGGGAACAAAUUCUUUGGUUUGAUGAUAGAAACAACAAGUAUUUCCACAAUAAAGCUAAUUUCAGAAGAAGAAGAAAUCAUAUAGAUACUCUUCAGGAUUCAAAUGGUAAUUGGAUCUCAAACAAAGAAGAAAUUUAGAAGUUACUUCUUAAGCAUUUUAGGGACAUCUAUACUUCUUCUAAUCCAACUAUGGAUGCUGAUCUUCUCAAUCUUAUUCAACCUUGUGUGACAGAAAAAUAAAAUCAAAUGCUUAUUAAGAUUCCUUCAUCUGAUGAAAUUAAAGAAGCUAUGUUUCAGAUUAAUCCAUGGGGUGUUCCAGGUCCUGAUGGAUAACAAGUGGAUUCUAUCAGCAAUUUUGGGAUAUUGUAGAAACCAAUAUUGUUAGUCUUGUGCAAAACUUUUUUAUGACAGGUCAAUUUCCUUCCCAAAUCAAUCACACCUUCCAAGUCCUAAUUCCCAAGCUAGGAAUAUCCACAAAACCUAGAGAUUGUAGACCAAUUAGCCUCUGUAAUAUCACCUAUAAGUUAAUCACCAAAAUACUAGUUGUUCAGGAAAUGGUACACUACAUGAAGAAAACACUUUUUUAUACGGGAGUGGUUGGUAUAAAGCUGGAUAUGGAAAAAACCUUUGAUAGAAUGGAGUGGAGCUUUCUUCAUCAAAUUCUUCUUCAUUUGGGUUUCUCUACAAAAUGGUGUCAACUGAUCAAUUACUGUGUCAGUACUGCUUUCAUUUCUAUGCUGCUGAAUGGUGUUCCAAUGGAGCCAAUAAUCCCCACAAGAGGGCUUCGACAAGAUGAUUGCAUCAUCUUCACAAGGGGUAAUACAAGAUCAAUGGUUAAUCUGGGGGAAUCUAGUGUUUUUUUUCAGUAAACAUAUGAACAGGGAUUCUUGUGAAGAGGUAACUAGAAAGCUGCAGAUGAGAGAAUUAGAUUUGAAUGAAAAGUAUUUGGUUACUAAUUUUAUUAUACCAAGAAGCAGAUAUAAUUGUCUGGAUCCUUCUAUUAAUAAAAUAUAAAAUAGAUUACCAGGUUGGCAAGGAAAACUCAUUAAUCAAGCAGGUAGAGCUGUCCAAAUCCAGACUACUCUAAGUACCAGUGUUCAAUAUCAAAUGGGUGUUUUUAUGCUACCUGAUAAAACUCAUAAGAAGAUUAACCAAAUUCAAAGGAGAUACUUCUGGAAUCACAAAUAAAAUAAGGGAUUUAAUCCUAAGUCUUGGUCUUCAGUCUGUACAAGUAAAAGGUUUGGGGGAUUGAGAUUCAAAGAUUCAAAGAAAUUCAACAUAGCCAUGUUAACUAAACUAGCAUGGAGAUUACUGACUCAACCUCAGAAGGAAUGGGUGAAGGUUUUAAAUGCAAUUCAUGUCAAGAAUAAAGAUCCACUAGUAGAAGACAUUUCAAGGAAAAAUUCUUCUUGGGUUUGGCAGAGUAUUCAGCAUGGUUUAUAAGUCUUGAAGCAAUAUUAAAUCUGGGAAAUUGGUGAUGGGAAGUCCUAUUAAAGCUCUUCAACAUAACUGGUUUCCAAUUUCAUAUAAUAGUAAUACAAAUGCAAGGAGUUCUUAUCUAAGCAAUGAUACUAGGGUUGCUGAUUUAACGGAUACAGAAAAGAAAACUUGGAACAUACAACUUCUGAGUCAAUACUUCAAUCCAGAUCAGAUUAAAGAAAUUAUGACAAUUAAAAUUCCAUCAAAAGGGGAAGAUACUUUGAGAUGGUCUCUUCCUUAUUGUGGAGCUUUUACAACCAAAUAUGUAUAUAAUGAGUUGUCUAAGAAUAAUGCCGGUAUUUCCCAUCUUCAUCAAAUGGAAGGUAAAGGCUGGCUUAAGUUAUGGAAUAUGGAAGUACCUCACAAAAUCCAAAUGUUCUUAUGAAAAUGCUGCCAUGACAUUCUUCCAGUUAAAAAGAAACUAUUCAGCAAAAAUAAUAAUAUGGAUCAAUUGUGUCCUUUGUGUCUUAAUUCUGAGGAGACUAGCACACAUCUCUUUCUUCAUUGUCAGUUUGCUGAAGUCAUAUGGUUUGGAAUCUAUGCUGCCCUCUUACAAUCUUUAAAAGAGAAAAUUUUUGUUAUA